CAGCUGCACAAACCAGAAUAACUACAUUUGGUAAUGGACCAUCAUAGAGAGGUAAAAAGGACCAGAAAGAGGAAAAUCUUUGAUGACUUUGUUAAUGAGUCGGACCUUGACAGUGACGUGACCGAUAGUGAGUUGACACAGCUCAGUCAGAGUCUCCUGCCAACCCAAAAAAGAAAAGCAGAACCUGAACGGAAUAAAAAAGCUGUUAAAAGGACUGUGUCCUAUCCAGAUCCUCCUCCCAAAUAUCAGAAAACCCAGCAAGUUGUGGGGCAACACAAAUCAUAUGGAGGCUUUGCACAUUCUUCCCAAAGUAAAACAAAAGGU